GGUCCACUGAAACAGUUUCAUCCCCUCCAUCAGGGCUGCAUCUUCGCCUAGUAAUAGAAAGCAGUUAUGGAAAUCUGGACUGUUUUGAUUUUUAAUACCUGCUUUUUUCUCUAAAACAAAAUGAUGUCUGGAAGACUAGCUGGCAUGAGUAGAUUCAAACAUCUGUGUGCCAUCUGUAGCAAACUCCAGACCAAUCAUUUGAAGUGAAUUGGGCAGAAGACUCACAAAGAAAGUGGGUUGUGCAGGGCAUGGAAGUCCCGGCAGAGAUAAAAGAAAUGAGUCUUGAAGACUGUGGUCACAAGAUAAGUGGCAGACUCCAAUUUGAACUUGGGAGUUCUGACUUCUACUCCAGUCUGCUUCCUCUACAGCAUAGGGAAAGAACCCAGGGUCCUGUGCCCAAGACAUGAGUUUUAAUCCACAUUAAGCAACUCCAUCCUCACUACUCAAGAUGUAAUCUUUGGACCAGCAACUUCAACAGCAUCUAUGUGCUUGUUAGAAUUGCAGAGUCCUGAUCCCCACCUAAGAUCUACUAAAUCAGAAUCGGCACUUCAACAAGAACCCCAGAUGAUUCCUAUGUAUACUAAAUUUUGAGAAGUACUGCUGUUCAACUCCGUGAAUAUGGAAAGAUAAUGACCCAGUUGUGUCACUGUGCUGUGUCCCUUUGUAACACUGUGUUCCCCAGCAGCUUAGCCUCUUCCUGAUGCCCCUGCCUGCCUUCCUCUACUAUGGUACUCUUAUAUCCUCCUAUGGUACUCUUCUUACAUUCUACCUUAUAUUUUAGGCCAGAAAAGACCAAAAGUUUUUUACCUCCUUUGCCAACACAAAGUUCAAUUCACAGUGGUUUCCUAGAACACUGUGUUGAACAGGAUUCUGAGGCUCUGUCUGGCAGAGGCUGGUAGAAGUCUGAUGUUUGCCAUGGGUGUAGGAAGUGAACGAGAAAAGCAUGUAUGCCAUGGAUGUGCCAUUCUUCUUCUGGACACUCCUUUUCUACUUCUCACUAUCAAUGCUUAUGUAUUUAUUACCUCACUGUCUCAAUGCCAUGCUAAGUAACUGCACAGAAAAUGUGAUGAGCCAAUUCCAGCUAA